GCCUUCGUGGUGUAAUGGUAGCGCACUCGGCUGGUAUUCGAGAGAUCCAGGAUCGAGUCCCAGCGACGGCA
rnacentral:tRNA from 1 species